AUUGAACGCUGGCGGCAGGCCUAACACAUGCAAGUCGAGCGGAUGAAGGGAGCUUGCUCCUGGAUUCAGCGGCGGACGGGUGAGUAAUGCCUAGGAAUCUGCCUGGUAGUGGGGGAUAACGUCCGGAAACGGGCGCUAAUACCGCAUACGUCCUGAGGGAGAAAGUGGGGGAUCUUCGGACCUCACGCUAUCAGAUGAGCCUAGGUCGGAUUAGCUAGUUGGUGGGGUAAAGGCCUACCAAGGCGACGAUCCGUAACUGGUCUGAGAGGAUGAUCAGUCACACUGGAACUGAGACACGGUCCAGACUCCUACGGGAGGCAGCAGUGGGGAAUAUUGGCCAAUGGGCGAAAGCCUGAUCCAGCCAUGCCGCGUGUGUGAAGAAGGUCUUCGGAUUGUAAAGCACUUUAAGUUGGGAGGAAGGGCAGUAAGUUAAUACCUUGCUGUUUGGACGUUACCAACAGAAUAAGCACCGGCUAACUUCGU
rnacentral:rRNA from 1 species